rnacentral:rRNA from 1 species
UACAGAGGGGGCAAGCGUUAUUCGGAAUUACUGGGCGUAAAGGGCGCGUAGGCGGCCAGCGCAAGUCAGUUGUGAAAUCUCUGAGCUUAACUCGGAAAGGUCAACUGAUACUGCGCGGCUAGAGUGCAGAAGGGGCAACUGGAAUUCUCGGUGUAGCGGUGAAAUGCGUAGAUAUCGAGAGGAACACCUGCGGCGAAGGCGGGUUGCUGGGCUGACACUGACGCUGAUGCGCGAAAGCCAGGGGAGCGAACGGG